rnacentral:rRNA from 2 species
CAGCCGCCGCGGUAAUACCAGCACCCCGAGUGGUCGGGACGUUUAUUGGGCCUAAAGCAUCCGUAGCCGGUUGCAUAAGUUUUCGGUUAAAUCUAUGCGCUCAACGUAUAGGCCGCCGAAAAUACUGCGCAGCUAGGGAGUGGGAGAGGUACACGGUACUCAAUAGGAAGGGGUAAAAUCCUUUGAUCUAUUGAUGACCACCUGUGGCGAAGGCGGUCUACCAGAACACGUUCGGCGGUGAGGGAUGAAAGCUGGGGGAGCAAACCGGAUUAGAUACCCGGGUAGUCCCAGCUGUAAACUAUGCAAACUCAGUGAUGCAUUGGCUUGUGGCCAAUGCAGUGCUGCAGGGAAGCCGUUAAGUUUGCCGCCUGGGAAGUACGUACGCAAGUAUGAAACUUAAAGGAAUUGGCGGGGGAGCAC